CCUACGGUAGGCAGCAGUGGGGGAUAUUGGACCAUGGGGGGAACCCUGAUCCCGCGACGCCGCGUGAGUGAAGAAGUAUUUCGGUAUGUAAAGCUCUGUCAGCAGGGACGAAAGAAAUGACGGUACCUGCCCAAGAAGCCCCGGCUAACUACGUGCCAGCAGCCGCGGUAAUACGUAGGGGGCAAGCGUUAUCCGGAAUUACUGGGUGGAAAGGGAGCGUAGACGGUUAAGUAAGUCUGGAGGGAAAGGCCGGGGCCCAACCCCGGGACUGCUCUGGAAACUAUUGAACUUGAGUGCAGGAGAGGUAAGCGGAAUUCCUAGUGUAGCGGGGAAAGGCGUAGAUAGUAGGAGGAACACCAGUGGCGAAGGCGGCUUACUGGACUGUAACUGACGUUGAGGCUCGAAAGCGUGGGGAGCAAACAGGAUUAGAUACCCCAGUAGUC
rnacentral:rRNA from 1 species